CAGUCGCCGCGGUAAUACGGAGGGUGCAAGCGUUAAUCGGAUUUACUGGGCGUAAAGGGCGCGUAGGUGGUUAUGUAAGUGAGAUGUGAAAUCCCCGGGCUCAACCUGGGAACUGCAUCUUAUACUGCGUAGCUGGAGUGCAGUAGAGGGUAGUGGAAUUUCCGGUGUAGCGGUGAAAUGCGUAGAUAUCGGAAGGAACACCAGUGGCGAAGGCGGCUACCUGGACUGACACUGACACUGAGGCGCGAAAGCGUGGGGAGCAAACAGGAUUAGAUACCCGCGUAGUCCCUGUCUCUUAUAC
rnacentral:rRNA from 1 species